rnacentral:rRNA from 1 species
UACGUAGGGGGCAAGCGUUGUCCGGAAUUAUUGGGCGUAAAGAGCGCGUAGGCGGUCCGAUAAGUCGGCUGUGAAAGUCAGGGGCUCAACCCUUGAAUGCCGGUGGAUACUGUCGGGCUAGAGUACGGAAGAGGCGAGUGGAAUUCCUGGUGUAGCGGUGAAAUGCGCAGAUAUCAGGAGGAACACCAAUUGCGAAGGCAGCUCGCUGGGACGUUACUGACGCUGAGACGCGAAAGCGUGGGGAGCGAACGGG